UACGUAGGGGGCGAGCGUUGUCCGGAAUCAUUGGGCGUAAAGCGCGUGUAGGCGGCUUGGCAAGUCCGAUGUGAAAGCUCGAGGCUCAACCUCGAGUCUGCAUUGGAAACUGCUUGGCUAGAGUCCGGAAGAGGGGACUGGAAUUCCUGGUGUAGCGGUGAAAUGCGCAGAUAUCAGGAAGAACACCGGUGGCGAAGGCGGGUCCCUGGGACGGUACUGACGCUGAGACGCGAAAGCGUGGGGAGCAAACAGG
rnacentral:rRNA from 1 species